CAGAGGGUAGUUUAUUUUAAAAUAUUAAUUUUGGGGAUUAAUGAAAAAGGUUAUUUUUCCUCUGA
rnacentral:tRNA from 1 species